ACACAUAAAUUGAGGGAGAUCUCCAUUAACAAGAUAAACUAAUUUUUAAGUUUACUAUUUGUGUUCAAUUUGUUUAUAUAUAUAGGGCUACGACUAGGGUUUUAAUUACUAGUAGCCCUUAUCAUCUUAGAGCAUUUAAAUUUAAAUAUCUUAUUUUGAUUUAUUGCUAAAAAAUAUAUAUAGUUUAGAUUUUUUUGUUUUAUUGUUUCUAUAUAUGUGGGUAAAGAUACAAAUGCG
rnacentral:lncRNA from 1 species